rnacentral:rRNA from 1 species
CUGCCCUUCACAGGGGGAUAACCGGGAGAAAUUCCGACUAAUACCGCAUACGUCCUUUGGGGGUAUCCCCGGGGGAUGAAAGAAUUAUCGGUGAAGGAUGGGCAUGCGUGAUAUUAGGUAGUUGGCGGGGCAACGGCCCACCAAGCCUACGAUAUCUAGGGGUUCUGAGAGGAAGGUCCCCCACAUUGGUACUGAGACACGGACCAAACUCCUACGGGAGGCAGCAGUGAGGAAUAUUGGUCAAUGGACGAGAGUCUGAACCAGCCAAGUCGCGUGAAGGAAGACGGAUCUAUGGUUUGUAAACUUCUUUAGUGCGGGAACAAAGCGGCGUCGUGACGCCUGAUGAGUGUACCGCAAGAAUAAGCAUCGGCUAACUCCGUGCCAGCAGCCGCGGUAAUACGGAGGAUGCGAGCGUUAUCCGGAUUUAUUGGGUUUAAAGGGAGCGCAGGCUGCGAGGCAAGUCAGCGGUCAAAUGUCGGGGCUCAACCCCGGCCUGCCGUUGAAACUGUCCUGCUAGAGUUCGAGUGAGGUAUGCGGAAUGCGUUGUGUAGCGGUGAAAUGCAUAGAUAUGACGCAGAACUCCGAUUGCGAAGGCAGCAUACCAACUCGCGACUGACGCUGAGG